rnacentral:snoRNA from 7 species
GAAAUGACGAUGCCUCACUCGCUGCAUGCAAUUAAGCCAACGUACGUCGUGUGAAUGAAGGUGAAGUUUAUUCUCUGAAAACGAUCUUUGUGAGCGUGAUUUA